rnacentral:rRNA from 1 species
GCGUUCUGUAAGCCUGUGAAGGUGUACUGUGAGGUAUGCUGGAGGUAUCAGAAGUGCGAAUGCUGACAUAAGUAACGAUAAAGCGGGUGAAAAGCCCGCUCGCCGGAAGACCAAGGGUUCCUGUCCAACGUUAAUCGGGGCAGGGUGAGUCGACCCCUAAGGCGAGGCCGAAAGGCGUAGUCGAUGGGAAACAGGUUAAUAUUCCUGUACUUGGUGUUACUGCGAAGGGGGGACGGAGAAGGCUAUGUUGGCCGGGCGACGGUUGUCCCGGUUUAAGCGUGUAGGCUGGUUUUCCAGGCAAAUCCGGAAAAUCAAGGCUGAGGCGUGAUGACGAGGCACUACGGUGCUGAAGCAACAAAUGCCCUGCUUCCAGGAAAAGCCUCUAAGCAUCAGGUAACAUCAAAUCGUACCCCAAACCGACACAGGUGGUCAGGUAGAGAAUACCAAGGCGCUUGAGAGAACUCGGGUGAAGGAACUAGGCAAAAUGGUGCCGUAACUUCGGGAGAAGGCACGC